AUUUAUUCUUACUCUAAUUAAUAUUAUAAAUAUGAAAGAAUUAAUAACAUAUCAUCUAUAAUGGACGCUAAUCUAUACGACAAUUUGACAUUCUAUCUCGGUACAAGCGUUGGCGUUUCAUUUUGUUUUCCAGCAGAUGAUAUUUUAGAUAUGCAUGUUUCGUAUUGCCAAGAGACUGUCUUGUUGAAUACUAAAAUUUUUAAGUAGCGAGAACCAUCAAAUCAGAUAUAUUUUUAAUAGAGUUUAAAUAUGUAAGCAAUGGUGUUGAACAAUCUACUUAGUGGCGGAGUGUGGGAUAAAAAUCAUACAAUUGAAGUGACACAGCUAUUUCAUCAAGUUAUUAUGCUGCACUGUGUGCUAAAUUUUAGCACGUUUUGAGGGUGGACCUUUGAUGAUCAAAGACAAAGUUUGUGCAUUGUAUGAAAUGAAAAAUGCAUGUAUCUAUUAAUUUACGUCUUCAAUGCAACGUUUUACUAAAAUAGUUCUCCUUAGUAGUAUUGUGGGAUUUUCCUGUUUCAAUCAACCAUGCUUAAACCAUAAAUAAUUUUUGCCAUCAAGCUACAAUGAAACCAUAUAAUAAGACAAGUGAUGGAUUUCUGAAGGAUAAAGAGGCAGAGGACAACCAACGACAACCUGGUUAUGAACCAUCCGACAAAAUCUGCUGACGAUGAGUGUUUAACUCAUAAGCAGACAUGACCAUGUCAUUGUGCCAACCGAGAUGACGCAAAACCGUGCUUCACGCCGAAACACGGUGGAAGUUAAGAUCGUGUGGCGUCGGCAUAGAAUUGGCAACCCCUUCAAUUCCCGAGAAUGCCGUAAAAGGCGACUGAGGAAAUUUAUUAGUCAAGAGAUGGGCAACAGCGUUCCUCUUAAAACAUCGCCAAAAUCUAACUACGGUUGCCAAUUCGCCUGCCAAGCGCGGCAACUACUAACAAAAUCCCCCAAGGGGGAGUCCUUUGUUCAGCAGUGUACAGUGUGAGAAAAGAGUUAAACAUGCAGACAACAGGCCCGUUGCACAAUAAUAUAGAUGCAAUACAGUUUCAUGCGUCAUUAACACGAGAACCCCACAACGUUCACAGUUGGCGUGCAAUCUGUAUCUAGGUGUUGUUGAUGAGAUUUUAACGCAGCGUGGAGAUGUUAAAUAAUGCACUGAAUGAAUUAUUCAGAGCGAGGUAACGACAACUGUUCGCUGUUCGCACAGUUUGCCGGCUAAUGUUUAACAUGAUUAAACAGGAGAUAUAAAGAUGGCACGACGGUGCCUACAUACGUACGAUGCAACAGCAUACCGGACUUGAGGGUAAUAGAUACAUAUAUUUCUCUACUCUUAUCAAGAUUCUAAUUUUAUAUUAUAUGUAUAUGAAUAUAUUUAUCGUGAAAUUUGUUGAGAAGAGGAAACGAUUGACAUCACGGAAUUUUUACUAUUAGGUACUUGAUUGACUAUAGACAAAAAACUAUGAAUAUCCCAGAAUAUCUGACGAUAUUAAGUAAUAUGCUUCCAAACCUAGUUAUUUUACUGCCAUAUCUCACUUUUGAAACCGAAACGCAGCAAUACAAACUAGUUGACAAUACAAGCACAAGUGAGACGCAUGCAUAUUACUUUUGUACAAAGUCUCUCUCUAGUUAAGACUUGGAUUACUUUUAGUCAGUGUAUAAUCUAAUAAAUAAAAAAUAAAAAUGGCAUAUUUAGGAUUACAGAACAUUGCCCCCUAUGCUAUCCGCCGAUCCCUUAAGGUGCUGACAUAAAUUAACAUAUAUUACUCUCCGUUUUGUUUUGUUUGAUUAUGUAUAUAAGAUCAAAUAAUGGAGCUAAUUCUGAACAAUCAUUCUAUAUCUUUAAAACUAUAUUUUCAAUUCGAUAUUAUAGUAUAUCGAAAUCUUCACUAGC